rnacentral:rRNA from 1 species
GAUGAACGCUGGCGGCGUGCCUAAUACAUGCAAGUCGAGCGAACGGACGCGUAGCUUUCUUCUCUGAUGUUAGCGGCGGAAGUAUGAGUAACACGUGGAUAACCUCCCUAUAAGACUGGGAUAAAUUCGUGAAACCGUAGCUAAUACCGGAUAAUAUUUUGAACCGCAUGGUUCAAAAGUGAAAGACGGUCUUGCUGUCACUUAUAGAUGGAUCAGCGCUGCAUUAGCUAGUUUGUAAGGUAACGGCUUACCAAGGCAACGAUGCAUAGCCGACCUGAGAGGAUGAUCAGCCACACUGGAACUGAGACACGGUCCAGACUCCUACGGGAGGCAGCAGUAGGGAAUUUUGGGCAAUGGGCGAAAGCCUGACGGAGCAACGCCGCGUGAGUGAUGAAGGCCUUCGGAUCGUAAAACGCUGUUAUUAGGGACGAAAAGAUUUGUAUGUAAACAGGAGGAUCAUGACGGUACCUAAACAAAAAGCAACGGCUAACUACGUG